UCCUCAUGGCCUUUAUGCCCAGGGCUACACACGUGCUACAAUGGGUGGUACAAAGAGAUGCAAUCUCGCAAGAGCAAGCAAACCUCAAAAAGCCAUCCUCAGUUCGGAUUGGAGUCUGCAACUCGACUCCAUGAAGUCGGAAUCGCUAGUAAUCGCGGAUCAGCACGCCGCGGUCGAAUACGUUCCCGGGCCUU
rnacentral:rRNA from 1 species